GCUUGACGUAAAAAAAAGAAGUUUUUUUGUUACUUGAGGAGAAAGGAUAAAAGGUUGUAUUCAAUUCGAUUCAAUUAUAGAAGUGUUCAAUAUUUUCUGAAGUGAAUAAUUAACACUACAUUGUAGCUGUCGUAGCAAUCCCAGGAGUAAACGCACGCACAAUUGAAUUAGGUUAGCCUAAUUCAUUAUAUUUUAGAAGACCCCAAAAGGGAAGCCAAGAUUUGUUCGGGGAGUAAUAAGGCUUGAAGCCGUACCGAAUCUCUUGAAGCAUUACGCUAAAAAGAAUCGGCGAUUGAUUUUAUUCCCGAACAUACGGAAAUACAAAAAUACAUGUUUAUUUCUAAAAAAUCGUAUAAAUUGGUUGAGUCACAAUAUCAAGAAGGUUGUAAUGUAUGCGUCUACACUAUGUUUGCAUCAAAACAGCCACUUCACAACAUAUAAAUCUCAUUAUUUUGACCACAUAAUCCUUAGCAAAAUGCUAUGAAGCAAGCAUCAAUGGGACACACUAUUUUCAAACUAAAUUUUUCAACCAAAGAACAAUGUUUUGCAUGGAAUCAAGUAUUAAAAUCGAGAUUUCUGAUGUAUAAAAAUCAUAUUAGAGCCUUCAAAAAUAAGAUAUGUUUACUAAACUAGUAAAAAACUCACUCGUAUUACCAUAAUAGGUACUAUUGCGAUGAUAGGUACAUCUACCCUAUAAGCUCUGGGACAUCAUGAAUUUUUCAGAUGAUGCUAAGUCAGACUGUGCUGUACUCGUAGGUCGUGGACGUAUACUUCCGGGCUUCUGCGGCUUCAUUGAUAGUUCAAUAAAUCAAAAUGAAAAAUUCUCCACGGUAUGGUGUAUGAAGAUUUUUUGAUGCGGU